rnacentral:lncRNA from 1 species
UGUUUACUUCCGGCGAAAGGCGCGUGAUGCGGUCAGAGCACAAUUUGACAUGACUGGAUUUGUUUAAGAGCCAGCAUGCAACGCCUGUACCUCCUACAGCUCUGUCAUCCUCAGUCGGUUCUAUCAUGGAAAGUCUCAUCACUUUUUCUUUCAUCUCUUCGUUCCACAGCCUCUAUCUAGUGAACAGGAACAGUUUUGUCUCCCUUGUUUGUUCCAAUAUCACCGGAAUAAGGCAGAGAGACUAGGCAGCCUUUUGUCAUCAGCAAAUCCUUAGGAAGGCAUCCUGUAUCCUCUGUAUUUCUGAUCAUGUACUGACAUAAGCACAGGUGUGAUAAGUGUGUCACUGUUCCCCCAGCCACAGAGAACGUCAAGGAUGAGACCACCACCAGCCAGCGCCACACAAAUAAGAGCCACAAAGUUGCAACCCAGACUCCAGUCAGCAUGCACCGAUUGACCUCC